rnacentral:rRNA from 1 species
CCUACGGGCGGCAGCAGUGAGGAAUAUUGGUCAAUGGCCGGAAGGCUGAACCAGCCAAGCCGCGUGAAGGACGAAGGUGCCAAGCAUUGUAAACUUCUUUUGUCAAGGGACAAAAUCAGGCUCGAGAGCCUGACCGAGGGUACUUGAAGAAAAAGCAUCGGCUAACUCCGUGCCAGCAGCCGCGGUAAUACGGAGGAUGCGAGCGUUAUCCGGAUUUAUUGGGUUUAAAGGGUGCGUAGGCGGACUGUUAAGUCAGCGGUAAAAGCCCGGGGCUCAACCCCGGCGAGCCGUUGAAACUGGGUGGCUUGAGAUGUCGAGAGGUAUGCGGAAUGCGCAGUGUAGCGGUGAAAUGCUUAGAUAUUGCGCAGAACUCCGAUUGCGAAGGCAGCAUACCGGCGGCGAUCUGACGCUGAGGCACGAAAGCGUGGGUAUCGAACAGGAUUAGAUACCCGAGUAGUC